UACGAAGGGGGCUAGCGUUGCUCGGAAUCACUGGGCGUAAAGCGCACGUAGGCGGAUCUUUAAGUCAGGGGUGAAAUCCUGGAGCUCAACUCCAGAACUGCCUUUGAUACUGGGGAUCUCGAGUCCGGAAGAGGUGAGUGGAACUCCGAGUGUAGAGGUGAAAUUCGUAGAUGUUCGGAAGAACACCAGUGGCGAAGGCGGCUCACUGGUCCGGUACUGACGCUGAGGUGCGAAAGCGUGGGGAGCAAACAGG
rnacentral:rRNA from 1 species